rnacentral:lncRNA from 1 species
CAAUGCUUUCAUACCCAACUUCAACAUUGACAAUCUUUGAUGGUAGGAGUAAAUUGGGGUGCAGGUGGUUGGGAAAAACAAAUCAUGAAGGGGCAGUUCAUACUAAGAGGCUCAAGGUGAGAGGUUUUAAUUUUUAAAUGUUUGGAUUGGGUAAAAUCUAGAAGAAUUUUUAAGUUGGUGUUGAGCUUUGAAAAAAAUAAGUCUAAAAGUCUCUAGUGGGAAAACAAAUGAGGUGGUGUGUUCUUUUAUCCUACUUGGUAUAAAUAGUGUUGUCUUUUGGAUUUUGCAUUUGGCAUGUGUUGAAGAGAUGGCUUCUGGAGGAAAAAAAAAAAAUGAAAAGUCUUGUAAAAUUAAACACAUUUAAAAUAGAGAGUAAGAAAUUUUAAA